rnacentral:rRNA from 1 species
CCCAGACUCCUACGGGAGGCAGCAGUGGGGAAUAUUGGGCAAUGGGCGCAAGCCUGACCCAGCAACGCCGCGUGAAGGAAGAAGGCUUUCGGGUUGUAAACUUCUUUUCUCAGGGACGAAGAAAGUGACGGUACCUGAGGAAUAAGCCACGGCUAACUACGUGCCAGCAGCCGCGGUAAUACGUAGGGGGCAAGCGUUAUCCGGAUUUACUGGGUGUAAAGGGAGCGUAGACGGCAGGGCAAGUCUGGAGUGAAAGGCAGGGGCCCAACCCCUGGACUGCUCUGGAAACUGUCCGGCUGGAGUGCAGGAGAGGUAAGUGGAAUUCCUAGUGUAGCGGUGAAAUGCGUAGAUAUACGGAGGAACACCAGUGGCGAAGGCGGAUUGCUGGACAGUAACUGACGCUGAGGCGCGAAAGCGUGGGGAGCAAACAGGAUUAGAUACCCCCGUAC